rnacentral:rRNA from 1 species
UACGGAGGGUGCGAGCGUUGUCCGGAAUUAUUGGGCGUAAAGAGCUCGUAGGCGGUGUGUCGCGUCGGCCGUGAAAACCUGCAGCUUAACUGUGGGCUUGCGGUCGAUACGGGCAUCACUGGAGUUCGGCAGGGGAGACUGGAAUUCCCGGUGUAGCGGUGAAAUGCGCAGAUAUCGGGAGGAACACCGGUGGCGAAGGCGGUUCUCUGGGCCUUACCUGACGCUGAGGAGCGAAAGCGUGGGGAGCGAACAGG